CACCGUGUGCCCCCAGCCGCCGGCAGCUCUCGCUGAACCGGAGCGCGAACACCUGAGUCGCGGCUCCGACCGGCGCGCCCGGCCCGCACCCUCCCGGCGAGGGGACCGGACCCCCGGCCCCGCACCCGCCCCCCGCGCCGCGACACGCCCGCUUAUUCCAGCGGGGAUCUUGCCACCGGUAACGUGCCCGCUCCGGCGGUGGCUCGGGCGGGAGCCUCCCCGCCGCCGCUCCGAGCAGGCGGGAAACGAAGAGAGCGCAGAGCGUGCCUGCCCUGACGUCCCAAGGAGCUUUCGAGCCACUAGGCCAUUUCAGCCACAUUUGGGCCCCGGCAGACUCAGCCCCACGGUCCUGAUGUGGGUCUCGCACCCAGCCCCCAGCCCGCCGCUCGACCCAGAAGUGCAAAUUCCAUCAGGAGUGCAAACAGGGGGGCUGCUCCCCUUUUGGCCCUCCUCAGCCCCCCUGCAAGUCUGUGCCAGGCAUGGUCCCAGAGCUAUUACUCCCCUAUAGGUUUCAUGAACAUAGAGGGAUCGUUCCUUUUGACUGGAGGGAAGAUUGCACUAGUGCGGAAGAGUCAUGGCUGCCCAGCCACGAGCGUGACACUGACAUCUGAGAGGCAGCCACAGGACACAAAGCCACAGGAAAGCUGUGGACCUGCUCGUGUGGCUGUUCGUAGGACGGUGCUACACAGACACAGUUAUUUCGUGGGGAAAAGACGCUCAAUUCACACAUAAGUUCUCCCACACAAAGUUAUAAUUAAUACCCUGCCAUCAAGAGUGAUUCUUUUCUUUUUUUUUGUUUAAUCUCAUGUUGAUUUAUCCUUUCUUUCAAAGAAGGUUUAGAGGCUGUGGGAAAGGCUUUAUGUUUGCUUGCUUUAACUUUGUGUGUAAUAACUGGGGUUGUCCCCAGUAUUACCUGAGGACCUCAUGGGAACCCUCAAAGGAAAACUUCACCAGCAACCUAACACCUUCUAGCCAUGGGCAAUGAAACUGUCUCCCACUCUGACAGACAACUAUUUCCUGAUGUCUGGAACACCAAAAUGGAAUUUCAAUCCCAUUCACUCAAAUAAACUCUAUGUCAUGGGGAAAGAAAGCAGGGUGAAUUACACAGACAUUUUCAAAAGGCCGUGGGAUGACACCACUCCAACAUAUCUGCUCUCUUUACCAUGGUCAGAUGGUUACUGUGGAUGUUGAAGGAGACUCAACUUGCAUUCAAGAGUGUAUUUUCAACCCCAAUUAUAAAAAAUGCUUAAGCUUAUGGGAGCAUAACUGGCUGUGAAAUUCACAUGAUACAAAAUUUUGUAUAUUGCUUUUGUUCAUAAGGUCUUUCCAUUUGUUUUAUGAUCUAUCCAGAACUGUCUUCUAGAAGAGACAGAGUUGUGGUCCAUUUCUGAAGGACCUUGAGACAUUUGGUCUGGCAGACAGCGAGUUAACCAGUUUUCUGCUCAUAUCUGGGUUUCUGUAAGCGCACUCCCUUCAUCUGAAGUACCCUCUAUUCUUCUAAAUGGACGAGAUAUUCCUCUUUCUGAAGUGUGGCACGCUGUUGUUGUCUUCUUAUCUCUGCCAAAAGAAAGGAUGAAGUCCUGUCCUCAAUUUAGGUCAAUGGUAAAAGUCUCAUGGAUUUGAAUGAGGCCCAGAUCUCAUACAAGCUGUUUAACAUUAUCAAUAUUGAAUGAAGCGAUUGCUCUGCAGACAGUUCCAUCUUCAACUUCUCCGCUGUCACAGAGAGUCUUAAUUCAUGUAUAGUUCCCAUUGAUUUACAUUAUUUUAGUAUAAUUUGGUAUUCAAUUUUCUUAAAGUAUUUUGAGUUAUCCGUAAAUGGGAACUAUAAAUACGCUAUCAAAAUUAAUCAGUUCUUAAGCUUUCAUAUGUGACAUGAUAUUUCACUUCCGAUUUGGCUGCGAUGCAGGAUGUGUACAUGAUGGUAAUUCAGUCCUCAUUUAGUAUUCGCCAGUGUGCUCUUAUUACUGUGGCACAGUUCAGGAAGACUCAAAAUACUGAAGGCACAGGAUCCCUUGGUAUGAUUGAAGCUGAACAAUAAAAAUAUCCACAUUCUGUAAAUGGAUGUAACUUCUUCAGAUGAGAAAUUUCUCCUAUUCCCACGGGCCUCCUAAAGAUAUAAUUUUUUGAUUCCUAGAUACAGGGUGAAUAUCCUUUUCAGAAAACUGAUCUAGCAAUCAGGAGUAUGUAUCCAGACUGCAUUCUGAAAAGCAAAGAGCUCAGCAGUCUCUUCCUCUCUGUCAGUUUUUCUGUUUUCUCCUUUCACUGUUGUCCUCUUUUGCCACUCUGUUUUAUUUUAGAUACAAUUUCAUUUCAGGAAUCCUGCUGGUUUUCAACUAUUAUACUUCAAGACAGUCUUACAAUCUUCUCCCUAUUUCCCAUGGCAGGUAGUAUUAAAUAAAAUUUUCAAUACUGUGAUUUUCUCUUUUUUCUAACUAUACUGAUUAAAUUUGCAUUUUUUUUACCCCAACAGAACCAUGCCAUUCCCCCCCGCCCCUCCCCCUUUUUUUUUUCUUUGACAAAUAACCAACCAUUUUCAAGCUUUAAACAUUAUCCAGAAGUUAACUAAAAAAGCUUUGGGGAAUUAUUGAUUUUUACUUUUGAAACAGAGUAUGAGUUUUCAAAGUCCCCCAAUGAAUGAAGAAUUAAUGUAAUUACAAUUCACUGAAUAUAAAAUUUUAAAGAUGAGCAACUGAGAAAAUAAAGGAUUUUAAGUCAGA